rnacentral:rRNA from 1 species
GAUGAACGCUGGCGGCGUGCCUAAUACAUGCAAGUCGAGCGAACAGACGAGGAUCUUUCUCCUCUUACUUUAUCGUCGUACGUGUGAGUAACACUUGGAUAACCUACCUAUAAUACUGGGAUAACUUCUGGAAACCGGAGCUAAUACCGGAUCAUAUAUUUAACCGCUUGGUUCAAUAGUUAUAUACGUUUUUGCUUUCUCUUUUAGAUUGAUCCUCGCCGCAUUAGCUAGUUGGUAAGGUAACGGCUUACCAAGGCAACGAUGCGUAGCAGACCUGAGAGGGGGAUCGGCAAAACUGGAACGGAGAAACGGUAAAGACGCCGAAGGGAGGCAGCAGUAGGGAAUAUUCCGAAAUGGGAGAAAGCAUGACGGAGAAACGCCGAGUGAGUGAUGAAGGUAUACGGAUAGUAAAACUCUGUUAUUAGGGAAGAACAAAUGUGUAAGUAACUAUGCACGUCUUGACGGUACCUAAUCAGAAAGCAACGGAUAACUACGUG